AUAAUCCAUUGCAUCCUGCUUAGAAGUAAUGGUUCCAGCAGCAAUUUCAGCAUUCAAGUGGUCGGCUAGCACAUCUAACAAGCUGAAGAACAGGAAACAAGAGGACUUUGCUGACUUUACAAUCACAAAGACAGGAAAAUUUAUGAUGAACUUCUUUGUGGCGGAGAAUAUCAUCUGCAUACUUGAAGACCACCCACUGCAAUAGUAACCAAGCCUACACCUAAUAUAAAUAUAUAAAUUUUCCCUUCUCUCCCUCCAUUCCACAUGCAUCUCUUGUUUGUUAUCAUUAAAUUAAAGAUGAUAGUGAGCAAAAGAACUCACGAAGCCUACAGUGGUAACUGUAUAUCACUUCCUAAUCUUCAAGUACUUGACUUCACAAUAAUAGGUCUUCCUUGCAUAAGACUCUCCUAUAAAUAAUUUCCUAGGUUUUUAGUAAUUUAUAGGGGAAAAAAAGGUAAAAGUAAUUAUGAUUACUAAGAGCUAUGAUUUUGGCCACUCAAACUUCAAGCCAAGUGGUAUUUGCUACUAGCACUGGAGUAGAGAAGGUUUCAUAUCAUAUGUUUUCCCUAUAUGAGAUCAUGAUAUACAAAUUUAAAAGCAGAUAAAGCUCACAUCUACUAUACCUAUACAUUAUUACUUGCAAAUACAAGUUAGUCAGUGAUUUCUAGAAACACUGAAAAUACAAGUCUGUACAGAACACGCUCAACUUGCUACCUGACAACCAAGAUAUGUACA